AGUUUAAUAAUUUAUAUAAAAUUUUAAUUUGCAAAAUUAAAUUAAUCGAGUUUUGAUUUAAACUU
rnacentral:tRNA from 1 species